rnacentral:rRNA from 1 species
UACGGAGGGUGCAAGCGUUGUUCGGAAUCAUUGGGCGUAAAGCGCGUGUAGGCGGCUUGGCAAGUCGGUUGUGAAAGCCCGGGGCCCAACCCCGGAACUGCAUCCGAAACUGCCUGGCUAGAGUCCCGGAGAGGAAGGCAGAAUUCCCGGUGUAGGGGUGAAAUCCGUAGAUAUCGGGGAGGAAUACCAGCGGCGAAGGCGGCCUUCUGGACGGUGACUGACGCUGAGACGCGAAAGCGUGGGGAGCAAACAGG